GACAUGAGGACAGAGCUAGAAGAAACACUGUGAGGUAAACAGAGAGCAAUAGAAAGGAGAAAGAUCAUUCUGUUUUUCCUUCCAGUGACUAGAGAAUGAACAUGGCAGGCAGAGUGAUAUGUGGUAAGGGAUGCACGGCCAACCCAAAGCUCUUCACCCCGGCCUUCUCUCAGACAGAUUCCAUCAGGAAAGGAGGAGGGAAGAGGAGGAUGUUCUCCUUUUCACUACGGUGUCGACUCGGAAUCAUCAGAGGGAGGACCAAAGAUGACGGGCCCUACUCUAAGGGCAACAAGGACUCUGGAGGGACCGACCAUGCCUCCAGGAGACGCAGUAUUGCAGAAGACUACCGGGGUGUGACCACCGUGGACCUAAUAAAGAGGGAGGGCAGCAGCCUGGGCCUUACCAUCUCCGGGGGGUCCGAUAAGGACGGCAAGCCCAGAGUGUCCAACCUACGGCCAGGUGGGCUAGCUGCCAGGAGUGACCAGCUGAAUGUGGGAGACUACAUCAAGUCUGUGAACGGCAUCAACCUGUCCAAGCUCCGCCACGAGGAGAUCAUCAGCCUGCUGAAGAACAUCGGGGAACGUGUGGUGCUGGAAGUGGAGUACGAAUUACCUCCCUUUGUCCAGAAUGCUCCCUCGGGUGUCAUAUCUAAGACCAUAGAGGUGUGCCUAUACAAAGAGGGUAACAGCUUUGGAUUCGUCAUGAGAGGAGGGUUCCAUGAAGACUGGCACAGGUCUCGUCCUCUGGUAGUGACCUACGUACGGCCCGGGGGUCCUGCUGAUAGAGAGGGCACACUGAAGGCUGGUGACCGCGUGCUGAGCGUGGAUGGGAUGCCCUUAAACCGAGAGAAGCACGCUGACACCCUCACUAUGCUGAUGCAGUGUAGCCAGGAAGCCCUGUUCCUGAUUGAGUAUGACGUCUCCGUCAUGGAGUCUGUGCAGCAGGCCUCUGGCCCCCUGCUGGUGGAGAUAGUGAAGUGUCCUGCAGCCAGCCUGGGUGUCAGCCUGGCUACUGCUGUGUACAGGAACAAGCAGGUCAUCGUCAUUGACAAAAUCAAACAGGCCAGUGUGGUGGAGAGGUGUGGGGCAUUGCAUAUAGGUGAUCUUCUCCUGUGUAUAGAUGGGACCAGUACUGAGCACUGUUCCCUGAUGGAGGCCACGCAGCUGUUGGCCCAAACCUCUGACAUUGUUAAAUUGGAGAUCCUGACAGCCAGUCAGAGCAGACUUCCCAUGAGACCUCAAGACACAGUGAAAGUGGAGAAGAGCAACCUUCACCAUUGGGACCCCACUGUUAACUACAGCCACACCCAACACUGCAAGACAUGGAGCAGUCCCAGCCACCCACUCAACCAGCAGGACCACUGCACAUCUCUGGUGUGUGGUGGCUUCUCCCCUUCCUCCACAGCCACCUCAGGGUACAGCAGUAGCCAGGGCAGCAGCACCCUACCCUGCCCCAUCCCAUCCACCAGCCCCCGUAACACCACACAUAAGAGACGCCAGAGGAGGAAGGAGCACAAGAGCUCACUGUCCCUAGCAUCCAGCUCAGUGGGCCCUGGGGGUCAGGUUGUUCAUGUGGAGACCAGCGAGGUCAUCGUGAGGGGGGAUCCACUCACAGGGUUCGGGGUUCAGCUGCAAGGGGGUGUCUUUGCCACAGAGACCCUGAACGUUCCCGCAGUCAUCCGCUUCAUCGAGCCUGACAGCCCUGCCGAAAGAUGUGGGUUGCUGCAGGUGGGGGACAGACUCCUGUCCAUCAACAGAAUCCCUACAGAGGAUGGAACACUGGAGGAGGCCAAUCAGCUACUGCGUGACGCUGCUCUGGCCAAUAAGGUCACCCUGGAGAUUGAGUUUGAUGUAGCAGAAUCAGUGGUUCCCAGUAGUGGCACGUUCCAUGUAAAACUGCCCAAGAGGAGAGGAGUGGAACUUGGCAUCACCAUCAGUGCAAGCAAGAGACCUGACAAACCUCUGAUCAUCUCUGAUAUCAGGAAAGGAAGCAUAGCCCACAGGACGGGUACGUUGGAGCCAGGGGACAGGCUGCUGGCCAUCGAUAAUGUGCGUCUGGAGAACUGCACCAUGGAGGAUGCUAUGCACGUGCUUCAGCAGGCAGAGGACAUGGUCAAGCUCCGGAUCCAGAAGGACGAGGACAACGCUGAUGAGCUGGAGAUGUCUGGUUCCAUUAUCUACACGGUGGAGCUGAAGCGUUACAACGGCCCGUUGGGUAUCACCAUCUCAGGCACAGAGGAACCCUUUGACCCCAUCGUCAUCUCAGGCCUCACCAAGAAUGGCCUGGCUGAAAGGACUGGUGCCAUCCAUAUAGGGGACCGUGUCUUGGCCAUUAACUGUGUGAGUCUGAAGGGGAAACCACUGAGUGAGGCCAUCCAUCUGCUCCAGAUGGCCGGAGAGACUGUCACCCUCAAGAUAAAAAAACGUCAAGACGAGUCGGAUGUGCAGCAGAUGUCGGAGCAGGCAGGGUUCCUGAGCGACACAGAGGAUGAGCUGACUGACUCUCAGAAGACCAGUAAACAUUCAGGGGUGUACUCUGCCACCGUGCCCAGCAUGGACUCUGCCAUGAGCUCCUGGGACGGCUCCGGCAUCGACGCUGACUACGGCAGCCAUGGAACAUAUCUCCACAGAGCUGCAGAUUUGACUUUCCAGCCUAAUGAGUGGAGACGCACCAAACCACCCAGGACCCAACCCAACUCCAUCUCCACUGGCCUUACCGGCCUUACCCACCACUCCCACCUCUAUGAUGGGAGAUACACUGAGGAUGACUGGGAUACGGCUGCUGGGUAUUCUCUCUCUCAUCUGCUUUACUAACUGCACGUGAGGCUCCUGGUGUUUCACAUAAAUGUGUAUUUUUCUGUCGCUUUUUGUCUUCACCAAACCUGCCCCUCUAAAACACCCAAAGGCCCCAUGGACACACCUCUGCCUUGUCUGUUGCCUCACUCUUAACUCUUCACUUGAUUUUUUUUCCUCAACUUUUGUGUCCCUCACUGCCACAAACUGUCUACACCCUAAGGCUUUUUGAGUGGCUUAACUUUUAAACGAUGAACUAUCUGCAUGAAGACUCUUUCUAUUCUAAGGGACUACACUGUUCUGUGUUAGAGAGAGUGUUUACUCUUGCCCUCACUGAGGCCUGAAAGGUUUUUAAAGGACCUCUCAACGUCAUGCACAUUGCCUGCAUUACCCACGCUGCUUUGCAGGCAACAACUGUUUCAAGACAGUCUCAAAACACCCCAGUCUCUGGAAAGCAAGACUCCUCUCAUGUUCUGGUUCCUGCAUUGUCAUAGAUACGCCAGCCCCCCUAGUUACCAUGGCACCCGGAAACAGGAGGAUAGCUUCUGGUCCCAGGCACUGCAGGACCUAGAGACCUGCGGCCAAUCAGAGAUACUCAGGGAGCUGGAGGCGUCCAUGACUGGCAGCACUCUCAGCCUGUAUCUGGAGGAAACGAGGUCCCAAGAUGACUCAGUGCUACAGAGCAGAAUCAGUCCUGUGAAGAGGGGUCCCAUUCAUGACGAGCCCAAAACCAAAAGCAACCUGCAGAGAUCGAACAGGACCAGGGACACACCACCCAGGGGGAGAGGGGAGCCCCAGGAGACCAGCUCCCCUACAACCCUGGAACUACUGAAGGUGACCCUGAGGAAGGACCCAGACUGUGGAGACUUCGGCUUCAGUGUGUCAGACGGCCUCCUGGAGAAGGGUGCCUACGUCAACAUGAUCCGACCAGAUGGUCCUGCCGACCAGGCCGGAUUGAAACCCUAUGACCGCAUUCUGCAGGUGAACCGAGUAAGGACCAGAGACUUUGACUGCUGCCUGACCGUCCCCCUCAUCACUGAAGCAGGAGACAGCUUGGACCUGGUAAUCAGAAGGAACCCCCUGGCACAGGCAGAUAAUGGGCCGCCACAGGACUGCGAGGACCCGUCUGAUUCACUGUUGGACUUCCCAUAUUACAGGACCAACAGUAUCGCCCUGUGACCAAGGUCCAGGUGGGAGAUUAUGGAUUAAUAGGCACUGCACAUUACACACACUGAUUUUGUUUCAUAUCUCUUGUACAGACACACACACACACACAACCACCACAUUCACACAUGAGCAUACAUUUGUAUGUGAAUAUUCACACAGACACACUGUGUGACCAGUGUUAGUCAGUCUAAUCAUGUGAUCUAGAGCAGAGCAGAGGAGACUCUGUCAGGCUCCUAGGGCUGUUCUGGAAAAAACACAUGUCAUUACGUAACAGCUUCUGGAUGACAACACUAGCGUUGCUCAGUUCUGCAGAAAUCCUAGAGAAACACUUCCAUCCCAGAGAAGCAGGUGUGUUUGGCACACCACCACAGCAUUUAUUUUUUAUUUUAUUUAUUGUGUGAUUAAUUGACCCUCUGUGACCUUUUGCUGGGUAUUGGUGCAGUUACAUGUACACACACACUUGACACACGAACGUGGGCACAUGCUGUGCUGGACUAUUAUUUAAACCAUGGGUUGGCUGGCUGCCUUCUCUUUCCCCUCCUGGCCCACAUUGCCAACCCCAAGCAAAAAACAGCUAACUAGCACCUCCAAAUAGAUAGAAUGCUAAACUGUCACUCACUGUUACUUGCCAAGUAUUGCAAAUAUUUAUAUUUUAGAUCCCCCACUCUAUUAAAUGGCCAUCAUAUGAAGGACAAAUACUUACAAACAACUGUUUUAUCACACCUUCUACUUUGUCCACAACAAAAGUUACAUUUCAGAAUGUUUCUUUUUCUCAUUACAUUUCUCACACUGUUAAUAGCUACUGGAUAGACAGGGCAGAAGUGUGUAAUUCAUACUUUUGGGAUCAGUGUUUUUGUUUCGCAAGGUUCUUGUCAACGGUUUUAUGUAAUCAAGUUCACUAAAUUUAUUUUACCAAGCCACACUUUUGUUGCUAGCAUGCACUAGUAGUUCACCUAAAUGAGAUCCAUGCACUGGUAGUUCACCCAUAUCAGAUCCAUGCACUGGUAGUUCACCCAAAUCAGAUCCAUGCACUGGUAGUUCACCCAAAUCAGAUCCAUGCACUGGUAGUUCACCCAAAUCAGAUCCAGGCACUGGUAGUUCACCCAAAUCAGAUCCAGGCACUGGUAGUUCACCCAAAUCAGAGCCAGGCACUGGUAGUUCACCAAAUCAGAUCCAGGCACUGGUAGUUCACCCAAAUCAGAUCCAGGCACUGGUAGUUCACCCAAAUCAGAUCCAGGCACUGGUAGUUCACCCAAAUCAGAUCCAGGCACUGGUAGUUCACCCAAAUCAGAUCCAGGCACUGGUAGUUCACCCAAAUCAGAUCCAGGCACUGGUAGUUCACCCAAAUCAGAUCCAGGCACUGGUAGUUCACCCAAAUCAGAUCCAGGCACUGGUAGUUCACCCAAAUCAGAUCCAGGCACUGGUAGUUCACCCAAAUCAGAUCCAGGCACUGGUAGUUCACCCAAAUCAGAUCCAGGCACUGGUAGUUCACCCAAAUCAGAUCCAGGCACUGGUAGUUCACCCAAAUCAGAUCCAGGCACUGGUAGUUCACCCAAAUCAGAUCCAGGCACUGGUAGUUCACCCAAAUCAGAUCCAGGCACUGGUAGUUCACCCAAAUCAGAUCCAGGCACUGGUAGUUCACCCAAAUCAGAUCCAGGCACUGGUAGUUCACCCAAAUCAGAUCCAGGCACUGGUAGUUCACCCAAAUCAGAUCCAGGCACUGGUAGUUCACCCAAAUCAGAUCCAGGCACUAGAUUGUAUUGUACCACGAUUGGUGAUAGUCACAUUAUUUUGAAAAGCUUUGUCACCCACUAAAGGAGUGCUCCUUAUCAUAAACACACUACUUGAUUGUGUUGUUCUGGUCACAUCUCUUUAGAUUUCACCCUCAAUAUCAGCAUCUCCCAUGUGAGGCCAGGAGUUUGUCCUGACUAGGAAAAGCUCCUGGCUCUAGUCCUCUGUAUACACGUUUCAGAAGGCAUUAUACCAGAGUAUCAACUCUCAGGAGUCCAGGGUGUGGUUUCCCCACAAACUGACUCUUAAGUGGAUCACGUCCCCUGCCAAAUGUGGAAUAAAAUACAUUUAAAUUGAGAUGAGUGAUUUCCUUUAAAACCAUUUUCAUGUAUCCGUUAAGGCCCCAACUCAAUAAGGUGUGGCCUUGGAUUAGAGUAUUUUUCUGAACCUCCAUGGCUGUUACUCCCACCCAUGUUGGUAAGCAUGUAGUUAUAGGAUUUAAUGCCCCACCUAGUAGAAAGCUCACAUUGUUCACAAGGGGGAAUUGUGGAACAUUUCUGCGCUGAACAAUUGCCAUCGCUUUCCUACUCCGUCAGACAGAAUGUUCCCCGGAGAUGUUUCCGUUUUAUCAUGACAUUGUAUGGUUUUAUAAAGCUCUUACAUAACAUGUCUAGCCCUGGCCUGCUUACCAAGCUGCCUCAGUGGAAAUAAGAUGAUUUGUUUAAUUUAAUGUAAUGGCUGGUGUAGAGAUGUAGUGAGACUGCAGUCAUGCUGUCCCGUUCAGGGCUCAACUAUCUGCUUUUUAAUCCUCAGGAAGGAAACUAUGUUUUUAGAUUAUUUCAUCACACAUGAAAAAUGUCCCAUUUGAUACAGAGGACUAUUUUGUUUUUAUACAUUUUAUUUGAGGUGCUUCUGAAUAUUAUUCAGUACACGGUCUGUACAUGGUCUCCCUAUGUAUAAUGUUUUUAUUUGUAAUGACAUUCUGCGUGUGGUUUCUGUAUCUAAGAUGUGACUGAGUGCAGUAUCUGUUCUCUGUACAGUUCUUCUGUUUACAUGGUCCCCCAGCUGCAGCCAAUCAUUGCUAUUUAAGUAGGGGGGGUGGAGUGAGCCAAUUUGAAGGAAUUUGUUUUGUGAGAUGUACAUGAAAUGGAUGAUUUUAUUCUUUAAUGAGAUAUUUCCUGCUUUUUAUGAAAAUAAAGAUAUGACUGAUGGGA